rnacentral:rRNA from 1 species
GAUGAACGCUGGCGGCGUGCCUAAUACAUGCAAGUCGAGCGAACAGACGAGGAGCUUGCUCCUCUGACGUUAGCGGCGGACGGGUGAGUAACACGUGGAUAACCUACCUAUAAGACUGGGAUAACUUCGGGAAACCGGAGCUAAUACCGGAUAAUAUAUUGAACCGCAUGGUUCAAUAGUGAAAGACGGUUUUGCUGUCACUUAUAGAUGGAUCCGCGCCGCAUUAGCUAGUUGGUAAGGUAACGGCUUACCAAGGCAACGAUGCGUAGCCGACCUGAGAGGGGGAUCGGCCACACUGGAACUGAGACACGGUCCAGACUCCUAGGGGGGGCAGCAGUAGGGAAUCUUCCGCAAUGGGCGAAAGCCUGACGGAGCAACGCCGCGUGGGUGAUGAAGGUCUUCGGAUCGUAAAACUCUUUUAUUAGGGAAAAACAAAUGUGUAAGUAACUAUCCACGUUUUGACGGUACCUAAGCAGAAAGCCACGGCUAACUACGU